rnacentral:rRNA from 1 species
UACGGGGGGGGCAAGCGUUGUUCGGAAUUACUGGGCGUAAAGGGCGCGUAGGCGGUUCGCUAAGUUGGAUGUGAAAACUCUGGGCUCAACCCAGAGCCUGCAUCCAAAACUGGCGGGCUAGAGUUCUGGAGGGGUAGCGGAAUUCCUGGUGUAGCGGUGAAAUGCGCAGAUAUCAGGAGGAACACCGGUGGCGAAGGCGGGUCUCUGGGCCGAUACUGACGCUGGAGGAGCGAAAGCGUGGGGAGCGAACAGG